CCUACGGGUGGCUGCAGUGAGGAAUCUUGCGCAAUGGACGAAAGUCUGACGCAGCGACGCCGCGUGCGGGAUGAAGGCCUUCGGGUUGUAAACCGCUUUCAGCAGGGACGAAAUUGACGGUACCUGCAGAAGAAGCCCCGGCCAACUACGUGCCAGCAGCCGCGGUAAUACGUAGGGGGCAAGCGUUGUCCGGAUUUAUUGGGCGUAAAGAGCUCGUAGGUGGUUCGGUAAGUCGGAUGUGAAAUCUCCAGGCUCAACCUGGAGGGGUCAUUCGAUACUGCCGUGACUAGAGGUCGGUAGGGGAGUGUGGAAUUCCUGGUGGAGCGGUGAAAUGCGCAGAUAUCAGGAGGAACACCCGUAGCGAAGGCGGCACUCUGGGCCGAUACUGACACUGAGGAGCGAAAGCGUGGGGAGCGAACAGGAUUAGAUACCCGAGUAGUC
rnacentral:rRNA from 1 species